GCUGAGGUGGGGGACCCCUGAGGAGCCGAGAGCUGACUUGGGGGUCUCCCUUUCCAUGGUCUCGUUACAGUGGCAAUGCCUCAGGAGGAUCUGGGAGAGGAAGCGGCAGUGGCGUAUUAGUAGGUGGAGGUGGAAGCGGAGGCAUAAGAGGAGGUAGCUUCGGGGGAGGAAGCGGAACUGUCGGGGGAGGAAGUGGCGGCGGCAGCAGCAGCAGCUUUGGUGGCGGGAAGUCGUCGCAGGCGCAGGGAUCGGUGAUCCCCCCUCAACCUCCAGUUCAGCACGAGGACCGACAUGGGAGCCUGAAGAGAUACUAGGAGCUGAGUAGCAGCACCUCAACUUGCUUGCCAGUGCAGCCUGAGCACUAGCCCUUCCUGGCAUGCCCACCAUAGCAGAGCUUGGUUCAGGAUGGCGGGAGAAGCACACCUUUGCCCUCUUCCCUCCCUGCCUUAGCCUUGCAGGGGCAGACUGGUCUGAGAACACCCAUGAGCUUGUUACUUCCUGCCUAGGUCCAGCUGCCCUGGCCCCUCCUAUUCCCUCCCUCUGGAAUUUUCUGAGUCCUGCUACCUGUUGCAUCUCAAAUAAACUUUCUUGCUACAAACUGAA